rnacentral:rRNA from 1 species
GACGAACGCUGGCGGCGUGCCUAAUACAUGCAAGUAGAACGCUGAAGGAGGAGCUUGCUCUUCUGGAUGAGUUGCGAACGGGUGAGUAACGCGUAGGUAACCUGCCUGGUAGCGGGGGAUAACUAUUGGAAACGAUAGCUAAUACCGCAUAACAUUGACUAUUGCAUGAUAGUCAAUUGAAAGGUGCAAAUGCACCACUACCAGAUGGACCUGCGUUGUAUUAGCUAGUUGGUGGGGUAACGGCUCACCAAGGCUACGAUACAUAGCCGACCUGAGAGGGUGAUCGGCCACACUGGGACUGAGACACGGCCCAGACUCCUACGGGAGGCAGCAGUAGGGAAUCUUCGGCAAUGGACGGAAGUCUGACCGAGCAACGCCGCGUGAGUGAAGAAGGUUUUCGGAUCGUAAAGCUCUGUUGUAAGAGAAGAACGAGUGUGAGAGUGGAAAGUUCACACUGUGA